GUCAAAUACAUGAACACAACAACGUGUAGCUAUGAAUGGAGAGGGAUGCUUUAAGAAAACACCGAAACGCAGCACUUUGACCUGAACAAACUAGAACAUUCAUCGGUAUGUAAUAAUGUACAUGGUUGUAAACAGGGUUGACGGGGGGGUUCGAUUCCAUUUCAAAUCAGAAAGUUAAAACCAAAUUACAAUUCCAAAUGUUUCCUCAUUAAAAAGCAUUGACGAUUGUUGAAAUUCCAAUUUUUCCUUCCUGAAUUGAAAUGGAAUUUACCCCCAACCUUGGUUGUAAACUAAUAGAUGUCCACUCUGGGCCACCGUAGUAGUGGACAUAAGAGCCUGGAGUUACUACUGACCCCUUGACCUGACCAGGUAGGCAUAUUUAACAGCUGUUUGGCUGUUGUUUGGCAGACCAGGUUCAUUCAUAUACCAAAUCAAUUCCUUUCCUUUUUAAGACAACACUGACCGGUGUCUAAGAGCAUUGGGCUUAAUAUAAAGGAGACUGGGGCUGCAUGGGAGAUAUCUCAAUCCACUACACUGGCUUCCUUCUUUCAUCUCCUUUCCUUCAUGAUAGGUGAGAGAGGCUUUCACCAUAUGUUGCUUCCACCUGCCAGAUCAGAGAUCACGAAGGAGAAGUACAAUGAAAGGAAGCACGCUUACACUAUUGAGACAGCCCAGGUCCUGUAUCUAGAUUGGGGAAGUAACCUAUUAUACUCACUACUUAAAUAAACACAUUUUUAAAAAAGAAUUUGCAAGGCACAGUGAAAUUUACAACUGGUAAACAUCAGUUACCUAGACAUCAUUAAAUCCAGUAGGUUUCUAGUAAUAUGGCCUAACGACAGAUUCUAAUUUGGUCCAAAAGGAUAGACAAGUUUGAGUGCAUUUGCAGCAAACAGAUGACAUAUCUUAACCUUUAGACAGUACCAGGUCAUAUCUUAACCUUUAGACAGUACCAGGUCAUAUCUUAACCUUUAGACAGUACCAGGUCAUAUCUUAACCUUUAGGUAGUACCAGGUCAUAUCUUAACCUUUAGGUAGUACCAGGUCAUAUCUUAACCUUUAGACAGUACCAGGUCAUAUCUUAACCUUUAGACAGUACCAGGUCAUAUCUUAACCUUUAGACAGUACCAGGUCAUCUCUUAACCUUUAGACAGUACCAGGUCAUAUCUUAACCUUUAGACAGUACCAGGUCAUAUCUUAACCUUUAGACAGUACCAGGUCAUAUCUUAACCUUUAGACAGUACCAGGUCAUCUCUUAACCUUUAGACAGUACCAGGUCAUGUCUUAACCUUUAGACAGUACCAGGUCAUGUCUUAACCUUUAGACAGUACCAGGUCAUCUCCAUUGGCAAUCCAAUUGUGAAAGAUCUGUAUUUCUUGACCGGAGUGUUGAGGGUUAAUUGAUAAUCCCGGAUGUUGUUUGGAGUAAAAGGGUGAACGUGAGUUGAUGUACAAAUUGGUGAUCUUUCCAAGACCACUGGUAUAGAGAAAUAUACAUUACCAUUGUUAUCGUCAUAACUAAACUGAAAUGUGUUGCUUUAAAAAAAAACUAAAUUACAUAUUUAAGUAAUAUGCAAUAAUACCAAAACAUCAACCAUGUACUUUUCAAUUCAUAAUGAAACUCACAGAAGAUACCACUUCACAUGUUUCAGCAUUUAAAAGCAAAACAUGUAGAAUAGUAUAAUAGUCCCAUCAUACAAAGACUAACAUUAAGCUGAGACAAAAACCUGCUGAACAAAACAUGAAGCACUGACAGACAGAGAGAACAUGAAGCACUGAGAGAGAGAGAACAUGAAGCACUGACAGACAGAGAGAACAUGAAGCACUGACAGAGAGAGAGAACAUGAAGCACUGAGAGACAGAGAGAACAUGAA
ensembl:lncRNA